rnacentral:lncRNA from 1 species
AUGAAGGAAACCUCUGAAGCCUUGGUGUGUCCUGCAACUCAAGAUGGUAGAAUCGGCGUGUUUAUUCCCUGAUGACAACCAACCAUGGGUAACCCUAGGUACCCCUGGUGUUCAUAUAAACCACAGGGUUUAGUUCGUAGGUGGAAGAAUCAUUAUCCUACUCAUCUAGGAUUUAGUUCAUCUCAUCACGUGGUAGAUCGACUCCAUAAUUGUAAUACACAUAUCAAUAUAAUCAAUUAAUAUGUAUGGUUUUACCUCUUCGAGAGGGCACGAACCUGGGUAAAUACUAUCCGUGUGUUUCCUAU